rnacentral:misc_RNA from 1 species
GAUGAAGAACGUAGCGAAAUGCGAUAAGUAAUGUGAAUUGCAGAAUUCAGUGAAUCAUCGAAUCUUUGAACGCACAUUGCGCCCGUCAGUAUUCUGGCGGGCAUGCCUGUUCGAGCGUCAUUACGCCCCUCAAGUCCCCUGUGGACUUGGUGUUGGGGAUCGGCGAGGCUGGUUUUCCAGCACAGCCGUCCCUUAAAUUAUUUGGCGGUCUCGCCGUGGCCCUCCUCUGCGCAGUAGUAAAACACUCGCAACAGGAGCCCGGCGCGGUCCACUGCCGUAAAACCCCCCAACUUUUUAUAGUUGACCUCGAAUCAGGUAGGACUACCCGCUGAACUUAAGCAUAUCAAUAAGCGGAGGA